rnacentral:rRNA from 1 species
GACGAACGCUGGCGGCGUGCCUAAUACAUGCAAGUUGAGCGAUGAAGAUUGGUGCUUGCACCAAUUUGAAGAGCAGCGAACGGGUGAGUAACGCGUGGGGAAUCUGCCUUUGAGCGGGGGACAACAUUUGGAAACGAAUGCUAAUACCGCAUAACAACUUUAAACAUAAGUUUUAAGUUUGAAAGAUGCAAUUGCAUCACUCAAAGAUGAUCCCGCGUUGUAUUAGCUAGUUGGUGAGGUAAAGGCUCACCAAGGCGAUGAUACAUAGCCGACCUGAGAGGGUGAUCGGCCACAUUGGGACUGGGACACGGCCCAACCUCCUACGGGAGGCAGCAGUAGGGAAUCUUCGGCAAUGGACGAAAGUCUGACCGAGCAACGCCGCGUGAGUGAAGAAGGUUUUCGGAUCGUAAAACUCUGUUGGUAGAGAAGAACGUUGGUGAGAGUGGAAAGCUCAUCAAGUGACGGUAACUACCCAGAAAGGGACGGCUAACUACGUG